rnacentral:rRNA from 2 species
AUUUGAGAGUUUGAUCCUGGCUCAGGACGAACGCUGGCGGCGUGCCUAAUACAUGCAAGUCGAACGAACUCUGGUAUUGAUUGGUGCUUGCAUCAUGAUUUACAUUUGAGUGAGUGGCGAACUGGUGAGUAACACGUGGGAAACCUGCCCAGAAGCGGGGGAUAACACCUGGAAACAGAUGCUAAUACCGCAUAACAACUUGGACCGCAUGGUCCGAGUUUGAAAGAUGGCUUCGGCUAUCACUUUUGGAUGGUCCCGCGGCGUAUUAGCUAGAUGGUGGGGUAACGGCUCACCAUGGCAAUGAUACGUAGCCGACCUGAGAGGGUAAUCGGCCACAUUGGGACUGAGACACGGCCCAAACUCCUACGGGAGGCAGCAGUAGGGAAUCUUCCACAAUGGACGAAAGUCUGAUGGAGCAACGCCGCGUGAGUGAAGAAGGGUUUCGGCUCGUAAAACUCUGUUGUUAAAGAAGAACAUAUCUGAGAGUAACUGUUCAGGUAUUGACGGUAUUUAACCAGAAAGCCACGGCUAACUACGUGCCAGCAGCCGCGGUAAUACGUAGGUGGCAAGCGUUGUCCGGAUUUAUUGGGCGUAAAGCGAGCGCAGGCGGUUUUUUAAGUCUGAUGUGAAAGCCUUCGGCUCAACCGAAGAAGUGCAUCGGAAACUGGGAAACUUGAGUGCAGAAGAGGACAGUGGAACUCCAUGUGUAGCGGUGAAAUGCGUAGAUAUAUGGAAGAACACCAGUGGCGAAGGCGGCUGUCUGGUCUGUAACUGACGCUGAGGCUCGAAAGUAUGGGUAGCAAACAGGAUUAGAUACCCUGGUAGUCCAUACCGUAAACGAUGAAUGCUAAGUGUUGGAGGGUUUCCGCCCUUCAGUGCUGCAGCUAACGCAUUAAGCAUUCCGCCUGGGGAGUACGGCCGCAAGGCUGAAACUCAAAGGAAUUGACGGGGGCCCGCACAAGCGGUGGAGCAUGUGGUUUAAUUCGAAGCUACGCGAAGAACCUUACCAGGUCUUGACAUACUAUGCAAAUCUAAGAGAUUAGACGUUCCCUUCGGGGACAUGGAUACAGGUGGUGCAUGGUUGUCGUCAGCUCGUGUCGUGAGAUGUUGGGUUAAGUCCCGCAACGAGCGCAACCCUUAUUAUCAGUUGCCAGCAUUAAGUUGGGCACUCUGGUGAGACUGCCGGUGACAAACCGGAGGAAGGUGGGGAUGACGUCAAAUCAUCAUGCCCCUUAUGACCUGGGCUACACACGUGCUACAAUGGAUGGUACAACGAGUUGCGAACUCGCGAGAGUAAGCUAAUCUCUUAAAGCCAUUCUCAGUUCGGAUUGUAGGCUGCAACUCGCCUACAUGAAGUCGGAAUCGCUAGUAAUCGCGGAUCAGCAUGCCGCGGUGAAUACGUUCCCGGGCCUUGUACACACCGCCCGUCACACCAUGAGAGUUUGUAACACCCAAAGUCGGUGGGGUAACCUUUUAGGAACCAGCCGCCUAAGGUGGGACAGAUGAUUAGGGUGAAGUCGUAACAAGGUAGCCGUAGGAGAACCUGCGGCUGGAUCACCUCCUUU